GCUAGGCGUGGUGGCGCACACCUGUAGUCCCAGCUACUCAGGAGGCUGAGGUGGGAGGAUCACCUGAGCCCAGGGAGGUUGAAGCUGCAGUGAGCCGUGAUUGCGCCACUGCACUCCAGCCUGGGCGACAGAGUGAGACCCUGUCUCAA
ensembl:misc_RNA Metazoa_SRP Metazoan signal recognition particle RNA